UUCCAUGACAAUCAUAUAGGGCGAAUGAAUUUCCCGGCCGCUUAUCGCCCUUAAAGGUUGACCUGGCUCCGGAGACGUUGGCGGCGUGCCUAACACAUGCAAGUCGAGCGAUGAAGCUUCUACGGAAGUGAAUUAACGGCGGACGGGUGAGUAACACGUGGGCAACCUACCUCAUAGUGGGGAAUACCCUCUCGAAAGGGACAUUAAUACCGAAUAACAUCGUAGUUUCUCUUGAAACAGCGAUAAAAGGAUUUAUUCGCUAUGAGAUGGGCCCGCGGCGCAUUAGCUAUUUGGUGGGGUAAUGGCCUACCAAGGCGACGAUGCGUAACCGACCUGAGAGGGUGAUCGGCCACAUUGGGACUGACACACGGCCCACACUCCUACGGGAGGCAGCAGUGGGGAAUAUUGCACAAUGGGGGAAACCCUGAUGCAUCUACGCCGCGUGAGUGAUGACGGUCUUCAGAUGGUAAAGCUCUGUCUUUAGGGACGAUAAUGACGGUACCUACGGAUGAAUCCACGGGUACCUACGUGCCACCAGGCGUGGUAAUACGUAGGUGGCAAGCGUUGUCCGGAUUUACUGUGCGUAAAGGGAGCGUAUGUGGAUUUUUAAGUGGGAUGUGAAAUACCCGGGCUUAACCUGGGUGCUGCAUACCAGACUGGAUAUCUAGAGUGCAAGACGGGAAAGCGGAAUUCCUACUGUAGCGGUGAAAUGCGUAGAGAUUAGGAAGCACACCAGUGGCGAAGGCGGCUUUCUGGACUGUAACUGACACUGAGGAUCGAAAGCUUGGGGAGCAAACAGGAUUAGAUACCCUGGUAGUCCACGCCGUAGACGAUGAAUACUAGGUGUGAGGGUUGUCAUGACCUUCGUGCCGCCGCUAACGCAUUAAGUAUUCCGCGUGGGGAGUACGGUCGCAAGAUUAAAACUCAAAGGAAUUGACGGGGGCCCGCACAAGCACCGGAGCAUGUGGUUUAAUUCGAAGCAACGCGAAGAACCUUACCUAGACUUGACAUCUCCUGCAUUACCCUUAAUCGGGGAAGUUCGUUCGGGGACAGGAAGACAGGUGGUGCAUGGUUGUCGUCAGCUCGUGUCGUGAGAUGUUGGGUUAAGUCCCGCAACGAGCGCAACCCUUAUUGUUAGUUGCUACCAUUUAGUUGAGCACUCUAGCGAGAAUGCCCGGGUUAACCGGGAGGAAGGUGGGGAUGACGUCAAAUCAUCAUGCCCCUUAUGUCUAGGGCUACACACGUGCUACAAUGGCUGGUACAGAGAGAUGCAAUACCGCGGAGGCGGAGCUAAACUUCAAAACCAGUCUCAGUUCGGAUUGCAGGCUGAAACUCGCAUGCAUGAAGCUGAAUUUGCUAGUAAUCACGAAUCUGAAUGUCGCGGUGAAUACGUUCCCGGGCAAGUACACACGGCCCUUUAAGGGCGAAUUCGUUUAAACUAACAGGACGGGCCCUUUAUGAGGUAUUUGGCUGUUCGA
rnacentral:rRNA from 1 species